CUGGAUGCCCCCAAAGGAAGGCCAGGAGCACGAGGAAACAGGGGCCGGAUGGGCCAGCGUGGGCUCACUGGAAUGCCAGGUCCUCCAGGCUUACGAGGCACGCCAGGAAUCCACGGCGCAGAAGGAAAGCCUGGGUGUCUCUGGUGCUGUGGGGAGCCCUGGCAGAAAGGGACCUUCUG